rnacentral:tRNA from 1 species
CGGACGGAGUCGAGUUGGGGGAAGUCGGGGGCUUUCUGGGCGCAAGGGUCGGUUCGAAUCCGACCACUCCGACCA